rnacentral:rRNA from 1 species
ACUCCUACGGGAGGCAGCAGUGGGGAAUAUUGGACACUGGGCGCAAGCCUGAUCCAGCCAUGCCGCGUGAGUGAUGAAGGCCCUAGGGUUGUAAAGCUCUUUCACCGGUGAAGAUAAUGACGGUAACCGGAGAAGAAGCCCCGGCUAACUUCGUGCCAGCAGCCGCGGUAAUACGAAGGGGGCUAGCGUUGUUCGGAUUUACUGGGCGUAAAGCGCACGUAGGCGGACUAUUAAGUCAGGGGUGAAAUCCCGGGGCUCAACCCCGGAACUGCCUUUGAUACUGGUAGUCUUGAGUUCGAGAGAGGUGAGUGGAAUUCCGAGUGUAGAGGUGAAAUUCGUAGAUAUUCGGAGGAACACCAGUGGCGAAGGCGGCUCACUGGCUCGAUACUGACGCUGAGGUGCGAAAGCGUGGGGAGCAAACAGGAUUAGAUACCCCGGUAGUCCC